rnacentral:rRNA from 1 species
UACGUAGGGGGCGAGCGUUGUCCGGAUUUAUUGGGCGUAAAGAGCUCGUAGGCGGUUCGAUAAGUCGGACGUGAAAUCUCCACGCUCAACGUGGAGGGGCCGUUCGAUACUGUCGUGACUCGAGUCCGGUAGGGGAGUGUGGAAUUCCCGGUGUAGCGGUGAAAUGCGCAGAGAUCGGGAGGAACACCCGUAGCGAAGGCGGCACUCUGGGCCGGCAUUGACGCUGAGGCGCGAAAGCCAGGGGAGCAAACGGG